rnacentral:misc_RNA from 1 species
GGAAGUAAAAGUCGUAGCAAGGGUUCCGUAGGUGAACCUGCGGAAGGAUCAUUAUUGUAUAACCGAGGUGCGAGGGCUGUCGCUGACCCGAAAGGUCGUGCACGCCCGAGUGCCCUCACACACAUCCUUCUCACCCCUAUGUGCACCACCGCGUGGGUCCCCCUUUGGCUUGUUCGGAGGGGGGCUUACGUUUUCACACAAACUUUGUAUGCAGUGUAGAAUGUAUUUUUUGUUUUUGCGAUCACGCAAUCAAUACAACUUUCAACAACGGAUCUCUUGGCUCUC